GAUGAACGCUGGCGGCGUGCCUAACACAUGCAAGUCGAACGGAGUCCAGCCUUUAAGACCUUCGGGUCAAAGAGGGGAAGACUGAGUGGCGGACGGGUGAGUAACACGUGGGCAACCUGGCUCAUAGAGGGGGAUAACAGAGAGAAAUUUCUGCUAAUACCGCAUAAGCACACACUGCCGCAUGGCAGAGGGUGAAAAGAGAAUCGCUAUGAGAUGGACCCGCGUCUGAUUAGCCAGUUGGCAGGGUAAAAGCCUACCAAAGCGACGAUCAGUAGCCGAUCUGAGAGGAUGAACGGCCACAUUGGGACUGAGACACGGCCCAAACUCCUACGGGAGGCAGCAGUGGGGGAUAUUGCACAAUGGGGGGAACCCUGAUGCAGCGACGCCGCGUGAGUGAAGAAGUAUUUCGGUAUGUAAAGCUCUAUCAGCAGGGAAGAUAAUGACAGUACCUGAAUAAGAAGCCCCGGCUAACUACGUG
rnacentral:rRNA from 1 species